rnacentral:lncRNA from 1 species
GUCCUGUCCAUGUUUAGUGUCUUUGAAAAAAAGAAAAAAAGGAAAAUGCUGUAUUAUUUUUGUUUAGCUGAUGAGCCUGUUGUCCCAUUGGUUAAGUUACUGUCCUUGUGUAGACAUAGCUUUAGAGGCAGUUUGGAGAAAGGGUGGACAUAUACCCAGUUGCAGUUGUGAUUUGAAAUCUCUGAAAGCCAAGUAAAAUGGAAUAAUGCAAUUCUUUGUAUUCUUUAGGUAUGAAGAGAUAAAUCCUCCAGGAUUAAGUUCAGAGGGCACAAAGAGUCUCACGUGCUGGAAUCAUCCUGGCCCCUCUCACCAUCCACAAGGACCAUCAAUCAAAAAUGACAGUAAGUACAUGAUCACAUUUUUUGUAUUCAUAUAAAAUUUUCAUUGAAGCAAAACUCAAAUGACUAGACUAUUAGAAAACUUCCUGUAUUUUAAAUAAAAUAGGCUAGAGUAAGCUGAAAUGGCUGAAAACAAAAAAAUUAUUGAUUAUUUUCAUUGCAUGUCCAUUGUGAAUUGUCUGAGGCCUUUGCUCUAAUUCCAC